UACGUAGGGGGCGAGCGUUGUCCGGAAUUACUGGGCGUAAAGAGCUCGUAGGUGGUUUGUCGCGUCGUCCGUGAAAACUCACAGCUUAACUGUGGACGUGCGUGCGAUACGGGCAGACUGGAGUACUGCAGGGGAGACUGGAAUUCCUGGUGUAGCGGUGGAAUGCGCAGAUAUCAGGAGGAACACCGGUGGCGAAGGCGGGUCUCUGGGCAGUAACUGACGCUGAGGAGCGAAAGCGUGGGGAGCGAACAGG
rnacentral:rRNA from 1 species